CCUACGGGAGGCAGCAGUAGGGAAUCUUCCGCAAUGGACGAAAGUCUGACGGAGCAACGCCGCGUGAGUGAUGAAGGCUUUCGGGUCGUAAAACUCUGUUGUUAGGGAAGAACAAGUGCUAGUUGAAUAAGCUGGCACCUUGACGGUACCUAACCAGAAAGCCACGGCUAACUACGUGCCAGCAGCCGCGGUAAUACGUAGGUGGCAAGCGUUAUCCGGAAUUAUUGGGCGUAAAGCGCGCGCAGGUGGUUUCUUAAGUCUGAUGUGAAAGCCCACGGCUCAACCGUGGAGGGUCAUUGGAAACUGGGAGACUUGAGUGCAGAAGAGGAAAGUGGAAUUCCAUGUGUAGCGGUGAAAUGCGUAGAGAUAUGGAGGAACACCAGUGGCGAAGGCGACUUUCUGGUCUGUAACUGACACUGAGGCGCGAAAGCGUGGGGAGCAAACAGGAUUAGAUACCCUGGUAGUCCACGCCGUAAACGAUGAGUGCUAAGUGUUAGAGGGUUUCCGCCCUUUAGUGCUGAAGUUAACGCAUUAAGCACUCCGCC
rnacentral:rRNA from 1 species